UACAGAGGGUGCGAGCGUUGUUCGGAAUUAUUGGGCGUAAAGGGCGCGUAGGCGGUGCGGUAAGUCACCUGUGAAAUCUCCUGGCUCAACUGGGAGCUUGCAGGCGAAACUGCCGUGCUGGAGUGUGGGAGAGGUGCGUGGAAUUCCUGGUGUAGCGGUGAAAUGCGUAGAUAUCAGGAGGAACACCUGUGGCGAAAGCGGCGCACUGGACCACAACUGACGCUGAGGCGCGAAAGCUAGGGGAGCAAACGGG
rnacentral:rRNA from 1 species